CGGGGCGUAGCGCAGCCUGGUAGCGCACUAGAAUGGGGUUCUAGGUGUCGUGGGUUCAAAUCCCACCGCCCCGACCA
rnacentral:tRNA from 1 species